CUGCCUUCUCCUCUGCUGUCAUCUGUCCUUCACUCAACCCAGUCCUCCAUUUGCGCAGGUCUGCCAGUCUCCAUCGGCGUUACGGCUGGAGGAUCCCUCGUCUCCGCCUCCAGCCUCAGAGUCUCGGACUCCACCUCGGCCCGUCAACCCAGCAGCUCCACUGGAACCACCGACCUCCCUCAUCCUGUCACUGUCACAUCAUGUCACUCUGUGACAGUACUGUAUAUAUACAACAAUACAAGACCAUUUGCUUUAUAAAUAAUUUCAUUUUACUCUAUUCAUAAGAAUUUCAAUGGGUAUUUUUUUUCUUAUAAUCUAAAAACACAUUUGUUAAAUGUCAUUUGACGAGUCAGCUGCCUCCCCCUGCUUAUCAUCGUCACCCCGUCCAGUAAUUACCGCCCUUCACCAGGCUCCCGACGGGAGUGGGCGUGCAAGAGAGGAGGGUGCCGAAACAGCCAGGUCUGGCGGCAUGUGAUUAAGCGCACCUGACAAAAAUCAAGCCUCAUGACUGCCGCUGUUGAAAUGCCGAGCACACCUUUCCUCAGGAGACCAGUCUCUUCUCCGUGCAUGCACGCUGGUGUCCUCAUAGGUCCACUAAGGGAGCAUUGAGGGGGAUCGAGUGCCGCUGAAGCAACAAGCUGCCGGACCCAUGGUCCGGACAAGUACCGCACCUAUUAGACGGCUGACGGGUGAGGAUGCCAGGCCAUUGAAUCCCCCAGAAGUGCCGUGAGCCAAGGAGCUGAAGGAGGCCACCACCCCUAGAGCCGCAGACCUGAGAGGGGAGUGCAUGUGGCUGCCGGACUCUGUCCCUUACCUGGACCCUUCCUUCUCGAACACUGCCCCUCCUUCACUGAACCCCCAGCAUGACGAGGACACCAGCUCCCCUGUUUAUUUUGGACACUUUAUUUUCCCCCCUUUUUGGACACUUUUGUUUACUUUAUUUUCAAUAAAAGCCUCUCCGAGGCCUGACGUCACUCCCACUGUGUCUGUCGUUUGCUCCUCCCACCACAGUAGUGAUUGCAUAAUGCGAUGAUUGGCAUGCGUGUCUUUCCACCCCUUCUCAUUUUAAAAAAACAAAAAACAAAAAAACAACCAGCAGUUGUCACUCUCCACUCCAACUAACCCUAACCUGCAUGUCAAUGGAUAAACUAUCAAGUAUUUGACUGCAGAUUUUCAGUGCAUUCUGGGACAAUAUUAGCCUACUUUAAGGCUAAAUCUAAAUCUAAAUACAGUAGUACUAAUUGACCAUGAAAAACAACCAAACAUCUCCUCAUGCCAUGACUCCAUGAUGAAUUUGUUGUGAAGAUGAAAGCCCACAGGAGUGUGGUAAGUUAACUUUAAUUUUCAACUUUUUUUUUUUUUUUAAUCUCUUUAUGUUUUAUUCUGAUGAUGUUUGCAAGAUAUAGAGCUACAUUAAUUUCUAUAAGAAUUUGUGAGCGAGCGCUCAGCUUUUGAGUUAAGGUGUGUUAAAACCCACAUGGGGCCCACAUGGAAAUGCUGUCUGGGCAGUACCAGGUGCAGGGCUUAUGGGAAAUAUAGUGAGCAGCGAAUUAUCAAAACUCCAGUGAUGGAGCCUUCUGAUGGCCCUUCCGCAGAGACACUCUUUGUGACAAAGCCCCUCCCCCGUUGUUGUGACAGUCUGUCAGCCUUGCCGUUCUUGGGCCCCAGUCGAUUUGAGACAGUGAAGUUGAACCUGGAGAAAAACAUAGACCAUCUUGCUUGCCUGGGAUUGAGCCGUUUGGCUGUCUUCAAGCAUUCGAGAUUCCGGUUAUCAGUUAAGAUGGUAAAUGGAUGCUUGGCCCCCUCCAACCAGUGAUGCCACUCCUUGAAUGCCAUCAUCAUGGCCAAGAGCUCCCGGUUUUCAACGUCAUAAUUUCUUUCUGCAGAGUUAAGCUUAUGUGAAUAGAAAGUGCACGGGAACAUCUUAGCUGGGGAACCCUGGCGUUGAGACAGUACAGCCCCUAUACCAACGUUGGAGGCAUCAGUCUCGACUAUGAAUGGCAAACUGGAAUCAGGAUAGUGCAAGAUGGGAGCAGUGGUGAAUCGUUGCUUAAGUUCCCUGAAAGCCUCACAAGCAGGGUGUAACCAAAGGAGAUGACGUGCACCCCACUUAAUCAUAUUGGUUAACCCUCUGGGGUCUGAGGGUGUUUUGGCACGCUGGAAAAGUUUUGACAUGCCCUGACAUUUGCGCUUUUUCCAACAUCUUAAAAACAUAUUAAUGGCUAAAGUCUGAUUACACUGUAAUCAGCACAAACUGGGCUACAAUAAUAUGCGAGCAACAUUAAUGUACGUUUGUGUUUUUGAGAAAACAAUGUUUAUGCGUGGUUAGUGAAAAACUAAAAUCUUUAAGUCACUGAAAUAAGGCCAAACAACACAUUCAAUAUUAGUUCACAAGACUUUUGAGAACUGGAUGUGGUAGUCUAGAGUUUUUUUUUACAAAAUGAUGUGAAAAUCAUCUCAUUCACUUGUUUACAGAAAACAAUAUAUUGAUUUAAAUUUUCUAAGACAUGUUUUGUGAUUGAAAGGGAAUAUGUGAGGGAGUGACAACGGCCAUGAAUAUUUAGUGAUUCACACCUGAGAGACAAAAGGCCCUCCUCUAAUGGCCCAUCAAUGAGUCUGUGACUGUCAGGUAGAAACAAUGAGAGAUUUAAAGAAUGGAGUUUUAGACUAUUUGUAUUUUAUUUACAACACAGUAUCAUCAAAACAUACAUAAUUAAGGUCAAAAGCACAUUAUUGACUACACUGAUCUAACCAUAGAGACGUGAACAGACUUUGUGUCAUUCCUGAAAACUGUUUUCUGAAUUCUGUUCAACAAGUGAAACAAGUAAAUUAUACCUGAUAUUUAAGUGAUUGCUGCUUCUUUCCAUGGAUUUAAGAAACAAAACUCAUCAUCAGUAGUCCAGGAAAUUGUUUUACAAUAAAAUAUCAGCGUAGUUGAACAUCUGAUGUUGGUACAGCACUCUUCAUGUGGCAUUCAUGAGGCAUUCAUAUAGCAUCUGUGGUGCAGGUAUCAGAUCACUAGAAAAAAAAAAACAAAAAAAAAAAACAAAAA